UACGAGGGGGGCAAAUGUUGUUCGGAAUCACUGGGCGUAAAGGGCGCGUAGGCGGUCUGUUAAGUUCGGUGUGAAAGCCCCCGGCUCACCUGGGGAACUGCGCCGGAAACCGACAGACUCGAGUACCGGAGAGGAGGGUGGAAUUCCUGGUGUAGCGGUGAAAUGCGUAGAUAUCAGGAGGAACACCGGUGGCGAAGGCGGCCCUCUGGACGGAUACUGACGCUGAGGCGCGAAAGCGUGGGGAUCAAACAGG
rnacentral:rRNA from 1 species